UUGAAGUCUCAUCGUGGGUUUCACUUAGAUUAUAUUUCUACUGGGUUAGUCUUAGAGAUGGGGGUGUGAUAAAACUCCCUUUAAACACCCCUUAGUACUGCCACUGAGAUGAGCCCUCCAGUUUUCUAUUUUACAUUUCCAAGUAAGACUGAUGAGAGGUCUGUGGUUUUGGAUGCUGCUUUAAGGAUAGAUGGUUUGCAAAGUCAGUCUGAUACCUCAUGAGGAGGAGACACUAUAAUUUGGAUGAAGUCUAAAUAAUGAGCACAAGAGACCAACCUGGAUUUCUUGGAAGAGUCCACUUCCAAAGUCGUCUGUGAUUCCAAAGGGAUGGUGCACAACCUGCAGACAUGCAGCAUGGUGGUAGGACGAAUCAUGCGUUGAAUCAGACCACAGGAUGUGGACUGGGGCUCCAGCCCCCACAGCUGUAUUUUGUGAAUCCCCAGGGUGGCCUAUGGUCGAUUGAAUGGUGAUGACAUCUGGGUGAGGAGGAAGUCAAGGAGACUCCCGAUGAUCCCCGGGGGCAUUUAUAGCUCCAAGUCAGAAGCCCAGCCGGUGGAAGAUGACAGCCCCAAAGCCUUGCCUGUGUUAGGGGAGCUAUCGAACUCGGAUAAUGACAUAAACGAGACGGUGUUCAUCUGGGGAAUCUCAGACAAAGCAGCCCAGAGGAAAACCAUCUCUGUCGAUGAAGGUUUGUUUCACUUGCAACAGAAAAAGCAGCAGCAGCAGCAGCAGCCGCCGCCGCGACUGGAGCCCGUGCACAGGCUGGGGAGAGGUAGACGGAGGCUGAAGCUGCCACAUAUCUUUACAAAGUGAAUGUACUCUUGUAAUCAACAUUGCAUCAAGAAAUAAAAUGGUGCCAUGAGUGUCCCUGCCCCGCUGAUGAGCCCUCCAGUCAACUACCAACUAAGGGUAGCAUCAUCCUCC
rnacentral:lncRNA from 1 species